rnacentral:rRNA from 1 species
AGUGAACGCUGGCGGUAGGCCUAACACAUGCAAGUCGAACGGCAGCACAGUAAGCGCUUGCUCUUACGGGUGGCGAGUGGCGGACGGGUGAGGAAUACAUCGGAAUCUACUUUUUCGUGGGGGAUAACGUAGGGAAACUUACGCUAAUACCGCAUACGACCUACGGGUGAAAGCAGGGGAUCUUCGUACCUUGCGCGAUUGAAUGAGCCGAUGUCGGAUUAGCUAGUUGGCGGGGUAAAGGCCCACCAAGGCGACGAUCCGUAGCUGGUCUGAGAGGAUGAUCAGCCACACUGGAACUGAGACACGGUCCAGACUCCUACGGGAGGCAGCAGUGGGGAAUAUUGGACAAUGGGCGCAAGCCUGAUCCAGCCAUACCGCGUGGGUGAAGAAGGCCUUCGGGUUGUAAAGCCCUUUUGUUGGGAAAGAAAAGCAGCAGGUUAAUACCCCGCUGUUCUGACGGUACCCAAAGAAUAAGCACCGGCUAACUUCGUG